rnacentral:lncRNA from 1 species
UGACCGUGGAGGACAAGAGCAUUCUUCUGACAAGUUUUAGCAUGGACUAUCCUCAGGAAAAUGAGAUCCAGGAAGAGUGACGCCCUCCUCGAACUGAAAGCUCCUCAGGCUGAUGGAGUCAGGGAGGAAGUGGUUUAUCAACAGCACAGGAUAUCUGAAGGGAACAGAACGUAUCCAGACAUGCCCCAGAUUGUCUACCCAUGGGGACUGAGAUACCUCUGAGAUUUACAUCAGAAAGGAAGGAGAGGCUGUUUCUACAGGUGCCACAGAAAAAUCGAUGCAGAGCCACCGAUUAUUGGAUCCCAUAGAACUGUGGAGACUUGGCAGUGAAAUUCUUCCAAAGCACUCUGUCUGCGCAGGCAGAGGUGUUCCUGGUUUGGGAAGUAUAAAUCCCGUGGGAAGCCAACUGGAGGACAUUUUAUGCAUCACUCAUCCUAUUAUGAGCCUGCUGCUCUUCUGUCUCUUGACAAGUUGGCAGCUAAAGGACAGGAGCAGCAAUAAGGCUUCCUAGGGACAUUUUCAUGGUGCCACCAACUGCGAGUUAAGCUGACAAACAUUUUGAGAGCUCGGCCCAUUUCAUUCCCAGCAGGAUGGCAGGAGUUAACUAAAACAGAAUAAACUAAAAAUUGUGCCUUCAUUGCAAAUUUGAACUGAUUCUCAGCACUGAAAAUGGCUAAGUUCUGCUCAGCAAGGAAAUAAUAUGCUCCAGAGAAUCCUCUAAUUCACCGAAAAUGGACUUGGAUAACAUUUGGGUUCUCAUACUACCACAGUCCUCUUGA